rnacentral:lncRNA from 1 species
AAGGGAGGUUGACGUUGGGAAAGGGGUUGCAAUGCAGAAAAAGUGGGUCCAAAUCCCGCUUCAGCACUAAGACCCUGCCUCAGCAGGGGUCCCCAAGCUUGGCUCCACCACCUGAGGAACCAGUUACUGCACACGUUGCCCAUCCAGGAGCUCGGGGCCCUGGUCCUGUUUCCCAGGGAGCUGUUGGCACCUGCAGGCUCCUGGCUGGGGUACAGGUGGGCUGUUUCUCUUCCAUGCCCAGCACUUUGUACUGAGCCCGUCCUGCAGAAACUCAAUGGGGCCACUAAAGGUGGCCACAUAUUCCUUGACCCUCUGUGAGUCUGUCAGUCUAUAUCUCUCCCUGGACGUAGGCAGGCCUGGGACGGCUUUGACCGUCAGUGUUGGGUGGACAUGGUGCUAUGCUGCACUCCAGGACCUCAGAGCCUGGCUGUUCCACUUUCUGCUCUUGGCCCUGAGCGGCCUUGAAGAAAUCCGACCAGGAGGGAGAGCCCAUGGAGCGGGAAGGCCUGUGGGGCUCAGCCCUGCACCCAGCCUGGAGGCCAGGCCUGUGCACACAGCUGGGACUGAGUACACUGAGUGUGCCCCCUGAAUGCCACGCGCAGCAGAAGAGCCACCCACACUGCCCUGCUGGACCUUGCCCGGACUCCAGACUCACAGACCAAGCACACAAGAGACCAGCAGCUUUGUCAUGCAGUAGCAGGUUCCCUGCUGGGGCCCAUGGGCUGCCCUGUGUACAAGCCACCUGCAGGUCCCGCCCAGCCCGUGGGCUCAGCAAAGUCCAGCCCCACACCCAGCCUACAUCAUCCUGUCCGGUAAACACUCUCCCCCUUCUUCCUUCUUCCUCCACACCUCACCUGCUGGAAGGGGAGAGCUCCUCAGUCUACCUGGAGCCCCUCCUGUACAAGAGGGUCCACGGUCGUCCAGACGGGCCAAACCCACCUCUUAGGUUGCACCCCUGGGCUGUAGAUGAGGGAUCCAGGGCUUGUGGGGGUGUGUACCCAAAAGGGCAGGUCCCUCAGGCUCAGCCUCCCCGCACCUCAGUUUCCUCUCCUGAAAAGUGGGCUUGUGACUGUAAAUGUUGCAGGGAGCUGCUGAGAAAAUGGCUGCUGAAAGCUUGUCAGGAGGUCGUUGUGACCAGUGAUGGGGCUGGGGUGUUUCUGUCAGGCCAGCGCUGGAGGCAGGGG